rnacentral:misc_RNA from 1 species
GAUGAAGAACGUAGCGAAAUGCGAUAAGUAGUGUGAAUUGCAGAAUUCAGUGAAUCAUCGAAUCUUUGAACGCACAUUGCGCCCUUUGGUAUUCCAAAGGGCGUGCCUGUUCGAGCGUCAUUUGUACCCUCAAGCUUUGCUUGGUGUUGGGCGUCUUGUCUCUAGCUUUGCUGGAGACUCGCCUUAAAGUAAUUGGCAGCCGGCCUACUGGUUUCGGAGCGCAGCACAAGUCGCACUCUCUAUCAGCAAAGGUCUAGCAUCCAUUAAGCCUUUUUUUCAACUUUUGACCUCGGAUCAGGUAGGGAUACCCGCUGAACUUAAGCAUAUCAAUAAGCGGAGGA